rnacentral:rRNA from 1 species
AGUGAACGCUGGCGGUAGGCCUAACACAUGCAAGUCGAACGGCAGCACAGUAAGAGCUUGCUCUUACGGGUGGCGAGUGGCGGACGGGUGAGGAAUACAUCGGAAUCUACUUUUUCGUGGGGGAUAACGUAGGGAAACUUACGCUAAUACCGCAUACGACCUACGGGUUAAAGCAGGGGAUCUUCGGACCUUGCGCGAUUGAAUGAGCCGAUGUCGGAUUAUCUAGUUGGCGGGGUAAAGGCCCACCAAGGCGACGAUCCGUAGCUGGUCUGAGAGGAUGAUCAGCCACACUGGAACUGAGACACGGUACAGACUCCUACGGGAGGCAGCAGUGGGGAAUAUUGGACAAUGGGCGCAAGCCUGAUCCAGCCAUACCGCGUGGGUGAAGAAGGCCUUCGGGUUGUAAAGCCCUUUUGUUGGGAAAGAAAAGCAGCAGGUUAAUACCCCGCUGUUCUGACGGUACCCAAAGAAUAAGCACCGGCUAACUUCGUG